AGUGUUAGAUGAAGAUCAGUUGAAGAGUUAUGCACUUGAGUGAAGACAUGAAUGAAGAUUAUCCUACAACGCCUAGGAGUGAUGUUUCAUUGAUCAACGAGUCCCAUAAUAGGUUGGUAUUUGAUGAAAUGAACUAUAAUUGUAGAUUACAUCUCAUGCUAUAUAGGUACUUACAUGUGGGAAGAAAAUAUCCAUGCUGCCACACGUUAUGUGCAAGUGAUUGUUGCUUAUAAAGAAUGUUACUGCUGAUUAGCUAAGAAUGUUUUUAAUUGCAGGUGAAACAUCAAUUGCAGAAUGGUAGUGACAACAGGUUAUGGUACAUUAAGAAAUAAGAAACGCGAGGUUUGUUCAAUAGGGAGAUCGUCCUUUUUUGAAGUAAAUAAUGGCUAUACAAGCCUGAUCCUGUUUUUGCUAUAUUUUGGAGCUGAUGGAACAGGAUUGGAACAAAAGUUUGAUAUGAUGUACAUUGAUGGCUGCGAUCAUAUUUUAUUUUUACAUCCAUUUUAAAUUAUGUAAUAAUAACAACAUUAAAUUAACCAUUUCGAAGUACAUUACAACGUA